AGUCGAACGGCAGCGCGGGGCAACCUGGCGGCGAGUGGCGAACGGGUGAGUAAUAUAUCGGAACGUACCCAAGAGUGGGGGAUAACGUAGCGAAAGUUACGCUAAUACCGCAUACGAUCUAAGGAUGAAAGUGGGGGAUCGCAAGACCUCAUGCUCCUGGAGCGGCCGAUAUCUGAUUAGCUAGUUGGUGAGGUAAAGGCUCACCAAGGCGACGAUCAGUAGCUGGUCUGAGAGGACGACCAGCCACACUGGAACUGAGACACGGUCCAGACUCCUACGGGAGGCAGCAGUGGGGAAUUUUGGACAAUGGGCGCAAGCCUGAUCCAGCAACGCCGCGUGAGUGAAGAAGGCCUUCGGGUUGUAAAGCUCUUUUGUCAGGGAAGAAACGGUCGGAGCUAAUAUCUUUGACUAAUGACGGUACCUGAAGAAUAAGCACCGGCUAACUACGUGCCAGCAGCCGCGGUAAUACGUAGGGUGCAAGCGUUAAUCGGAAUUACUGGGCGUAAAGCGUGCGCAGGCGGUUUUGUAAGUCUGUCGUGAAAUCCCCGGGCUCAACCUGGGAAUUGCGAUGGAGACUGCAAGGCUAGAAUCUGGCAGAGGGGGGUAGAAUUCCACGUGUAGCAGUGAAAUGCGUAGAGAUGUGGAGGAACACCGAUGGCGAAGGCAGCCCCCUGGGUCAAGAUUGACGCUCAUGCACGAAAGCGUGGGGAGCAAACAGGAUUAGAUACCCUGGUAGUCCACGCCCUAAACGAUGUCUACUAGUUGUCGGGUCUUAAUUGACUUGGUAACGCAGCUAACGCGUGAAGUAGACCGCCUGGGGAGUACGGUCGCAAGAUUAAAACUCAAAGGAAUUGAC
rnacentral:rRNA from 1 species